AGUGAACGCUGGCGGUAGGCCUAACACAUGCAAGUCGAACGGCAGCACAGUAAGAGCUUGCUCUUACGGGUGGCGAGUGGCGGACGGGUGAGGAAUACAUCGGAAUCUACUUUUUCGUGGGGGAUAAUGUCGGGAAACUUCCGCUAAUACCGCAUACGACCUACGGGUGAAAGCAGGGGAUCUUCGGACCUUGCGCGAUUGAAUGAGCCGAUGUCGGAUUAGCUAGUUGGCGGGGUAAAGGCCCACCAAGGCGACGAUCCGUAGCUGGUCUGAGAGGAUGAACAGCCACACGGGAAGUGAGACAGGGUCCAGACUCCUACGGUAGGCAGCAGUGGGGAAUAUUGGGGAAUGGGCGCAAGCCUGAUCCAGCAAUACCGCGUGGGUGAAGAAGGCGCUAGGGUGGGAAAGCCCUUUUGUUGGGAAAGAAAAGCAGCAGGUUUAUACCCCGCUGUUCUGACGGUACCCAAAGAAUAAGCACCGGCUAACUUCGUG
rnacentral:rRNA from 1 species